rnacentral:rRNA from 1 species
UACGUAGGGGGCAAGCGUUGUCCGGAUUUAUUGGGCUUAAAGGGUGCGUAGGUGGCUGAUUAAGUCAUGGGUGAAAGCCCGCAGCUCAACCGUGGAAUUGCCUGUGAUACUGAUUGGCUUGAGUGCGGGUGAGGCAAGUGGAAUUGCUGGUGUAGAGGUGAAAUGCAUAGAUACUAGCAAGAACACCGGUUGCGAAGGCAGGUUGCUAGCCCGCUACUGACACUCAGGUACGAAAGCGUGGGGAGCAAACAGG